AGCGAACGCUGGCGGCAGGCUUAACACAUGCAAGUCGAACGCCCCGCAAGGGGAGUGGCAGACGGGUGAGUAACACGUGGGAACGUACCCUUUGGUUCGGAAUAACUUGGGGAGACUCAAGCUAAUACCGGAUAAGCCCUUAUGGGGAAAGGUUUACUGCCGAAGGAUCGGCCCGCGUCUGAUUAGCUAGUUGGUGAGGUAAUGGCUCACCAAGGCGACGAUCAGUAGCUGGUCUGAGAGGAUGAUCAGCCACACUGGGACUGAGACACGGCCCAGACUCCUACGGGAGGCAGCAGUGGGGAAUAUUGGACAGUGGGGGCAACCCUGAUCCAGCCAUGCCGCGUGAGUGAUGAAGGCCUUAGGGUUGUAAAGCUCUUUUACCCGGGACGAUAAUGACUGUACCGGGAGAAUAAGCCCCGGCUAACUUCGUGCCAGCCGCCGCAGUAA
rnacentral:rRNA from 1 species